CCCCUAGAUGUUCUGGGCCGCACGCGCGCUACACUGAACAGUUCAACAAGUCUUAACCUUGGCCGAUAGGUCUGGGUAAUCUUUGAACGCUGUUCGUGAUUGGGAUAGACCUUUGCAAUUAUGGGUCUUCAACGAGGAAUUCCUAGUAUACGCAAGUCAUCAGCUUGCAUUGAUUACGUCCCUGCCCUUUGUACACACCGCCCGUCGCACCUACCGAUUGAAUGGUCCGGUGAAAUCUCGGGACGGCGGCUUGGUCGCUUGCGUCCGACUGCUGAAACUUGAUUAAACCAUNUNAUUUAGNGGAAGGUGAANUCGUANCA
rnacentral:rRNA from 1 species